AAAAAAGACAUGAAAAGAAGAAACAGACGGUGGCCAUGGAAGUCAGAAUCCGCUAAGGAGUGUGUAACAACUCACCUGCCGAAUCAACUAGCCCUGAAAAUGGAUGGCGCUGGA
rfam:Pan troglodytes isolate Yerkes chimp pedigree #C0471 (Clint) chromosome 4, whole genome shotgun sequence.